rnacentral:rRNA from 1 species
GAUGAACGCUGGCGGCGUGCCUAAUACAUGCAAGUCGAGCGAACGGACGAGAAGCUUGCUCCUCUGAGGUUAGCGGCGGACGGGUGAGUAACACGUGGAUAACCUACCUAUAAUACUGGGAUAACUUCGGGAAACCGGAGCUAAUACCGGAUAAUAUUUUGAACCGCAUGGUUCAAAAGUGAAAGACGGUUUUGCUGUCACUUAUAGAUGGAUCCGCGCUGCAUUAGCUAGUUGGUAAGGUAACGGCUUACCAAGGCAACGAUGCGUAGCCGACCUGAGAGGGUGAUCGGCCACACUGGAACUGAGACACGGUCCAGACUCCUACGGGAGGCAGCAGUAGGGAAUCUUCCGCAAUGGGCGAAAGCCUGACGGAGCAACGCCGCGUGAGUGAUGAAGGUCUUCGGAUCGUAAAACUCUGUUAUUAGGGAAGAACAUAUGUGUAAGUAACUGUGCACAUCUUGACGGUACCUAAUCAGAAAGCCACGGCUAACUACGUG